rnacentral:sRNA from 1 species
CUGAGGGGAGGGCCUGUCUAAGGAGACUCACCUCCCAUGGUCCUUCCCUCACACACCUUGCCCUCUUCCCUCCCCUCCCUGCUCCCAGAACAAGUAUGUCCGAUGUUCUGUUAGAGCUGAGGUACGCCAUCUCCGGAGGGUCCUGUGUCACCGCUUGAUGCUAAACCCUCAGCAUGUGCAGCUCCUUUUUGACAAUGAAGUUCUCCCUGAUCACAUGACAAUGAAGC